rnacentral:tRNA from 1 species
AAUGAAGUGCCUGAGUAAAGGGUUAUUUUGAUAGAAUAAAUCACGUGCAAAUACACCUUCAUUA